rnacentral:rRNA from 1 species
GACGAACGCUGGCGGCGUGCUUAACACAUGCAAGUCGAACGGAAAGGCCCUGCUUUUGUGGGGUGCUCGAGUGGCGAACGGGUGGGUAACACGUGAGUAACCUGCCCUUGACUUUGGGAUAACUUCAGGAAACUGGGGCUAAUACCGGAUAGGAGCUCCUGCUGCAUGGUGGGGGUUGGAAAGUUUCGGCGGUUGGGGAUGGACUCGCGGCUUAUCAGCUUGUUGGUGGGGUGGUGGCUUACCAAGGCUUUGACGGGUAGCCGGCCUGAGAGGGUGACCGGCCACAUUGGGACUGAGAUACGGCCCAGACUCCUACGGGAGGCAGCAGUGGGGAAUAUUGCACAAUGGGCGGAAGCCUGAUGCAGCAACGCCGCGUGCGGGAUGACGGCCUUCGGGUUGUAAACCGCUUUCGCCUGUGACGAAGCGUGAGUGACGGUAAUGGGUAAAGAAGCACCGGCUAACUACGUG